CCUGGAAUUUAUCACAGCAGAAGAACUUUCACGUGUUUGGUUCUAUCCGUUCCAGUUUUAGCUUUUAACACUCCACCAGGAAAUGACUAAGAAUGUACUUCUCAUUGCCACUAGGAGGAGCAACUGUCAUACUGAGUUUUUUCUUAGGUAAAGGAGAAGCUCUGGAGGGUUCACGGGCAUAGAGUUUUGUGCUGAACUGGGAUGUUUGGAUGCUGUCAUCUCCCCAUUCUCACGCGUUCACUCAGGUUUGUUGACAGUGGUGUGGCUGGCCGUGAUAUGUCCCACGGCUCCCUCGUGUCCGUGUUACCUUCUGGCUCUCCCUUUUAGUUAUGCUGUCACAGCUAGUCUUGCCGGAAUCCCUGCUUGUACUGUGCACACAAUGUACAUUGUCCUUAACCAUACCAUGACAACUAGCGUACCUAAUAAUCUCUCUCUCUCUCUCUCUCUCUCUCUCUCUGUUGAGCUACACAUGCUACUCCUGAGAUACUAGUGAUCCUGACCCCUUCUGCUCUCCGGACCUGCCUGAUCCAGCCUGAUGCCCUACUUCUGUUGGAGUUCUCAUCACUUGGAAACCACUCGCUGUUGCUGAGAAUGGCCCCACACGGACAGCCUGAAGAUCGAUGAGAUUAGUGAGGGUGGUACCACUUAGAAACCAUGAAGAUGGCUUUGGACUUCAAUUGAUACAAACAAUUUUGCUACGAUGGCUUAGGACUACAAUUGCUAUGAUAGCUUUAGGACCGCAAUUGCCACAAACUCAAGUCUCAUAACUUCAUAACUUCAACAAAAUAGACUUCAUGUGAAAACUAUAAUGAAUUUCCUUGUUACACAUUUGCACAUUUUGACCAUGUAGUAUACAGUUAUUGUAGGGAAUUAUUUAUAGUUACACUAUCCGGUGUCACCCACAUGAGGAUGAGUUCCCUUUUGACUCUGGUUCCUCUCAAGGUUUCUUCCUCAUAUUGUCUCAGGGAGUUUUUCCUUGCCACCGUCGCCUCUGGCUUGCUCAUUAGGGAUAAAUUUAUACCUUUCUCUAAAGCUACUUUGUGACAAUGUCCAUUGUUAAAAGCGCUAUACACAUUAGAUUGAAUUGAUAAACGUGACUAUUUAGCUCAACAGUGAGAAUGAUUAUUAAUUUCCUCCAGUUUAGGGAUUAAAUUUUUUUAAUUAAUUCUUAUCAUUUUAAAAUGGCAGAAAAUAAUAUUUUCUUGCAUAUUGUAAAAUACUGGACUAUGUAUAAAAUCAUAAAUCUUAAAAUUUGAUCUUUUAAGUGUUAAAUCAAAACACAAUUAGGCUUAAAAUCCUGGCUUAUUAUUCAAUUGUGAAUCUUUAACCAUAUUAUUCAGUUACUACUAUGAAUUACGUAUAUAGUAACUACAGUAAAAUCAAUAGGAAAGCUAUUUACAAGAAGAUGUCUAAGGGGUUAAAGAAAUAGAAGUAAAUGGAUGAAUGGGUAAAUAAAGUGAUGGAUCCACCAAUAAAAUCAAUAAAAACAUCCAAUAUAGGUUUAGCUAUGCUCCUCAAUAUAAACUACAUUAUUUUAACUAAAGAUUAAUUUAUUUCUAUAUCAUUUCUAUGAUAUGACAGAAGCUUUUUAUGCAUUUAUUUAUCGCAACUAUUAAUGCAAGAUACUAGGUCAAUCAUUCACCGGAAUGAAAACUGAGACAAUUUGAGUUAAAGGGGUAUUUGUCGGUGUAUGUGUGUGUUAAAUGGACUGUGAGUUAUUGUGGCUGCGUUAUUGUGUGUACCUUCAGAGCCUCGAUUUCCUGUCUGUGUUUCCUCUGCUGUUCCUGCAGCUGUUGGUCAUACUGCUCAUGGAGUUUAGCACUCAUCUCCUUCAAAGCGUGAGCACUGGCCUCUUGCGAAGACUCCAUCUACACACACACACACACAAACAAACACACACAUCCACCAAGCCAUGGAAACUACCUGUUGUUUCAGCAUUUGGUUUUCAACAUGGGCAGCAGCCAGCUGUCUCUCCUUCUCCCUCAGUUUCUCCUCAGUCUUUUCGAAGGAACUGCGCAGCGCUUUCAUCUCCUCCCUGUUUCCCACACGGCCCUGACAGCUCUCCAGCAGUGACUUCUACACUUUCAUGUCAAUACCUGAAGCAACUGACAGCGGAGUGAAUGCGGUUCUUGAUUACCUACCUGCAAGUCGAUGUUGGCUGAUAUGAGAGAGCUGUUCAUCUGAUCAAAACUAUCGAGGGCCGCUCUCCCUGUUCUUACUUCUGCUUCCAAAUAGCGCUUAUGUGAGUUAGCCAUCUGUAACACACACAGCCACAGCAUGCUGUUGGACACAGUGUAAUGAUUCCAACCUGAAAUGUACUAAAAUAAACAAUACUGUGCUUGCUGCCUGAUUGUGCUGAAUUUGUACUAUAUGAAGCUGUGUUAAUUAGUGAACAUAAAAACAGGAUCGGCAUUUUAACACUCUUUAACACACCAUUGUUGGCCGUCCUUUGCCAUUUCCCUCAGCUGAAACACCCAUGAUCUCAAAGACUAUUUCAUUAAUUUAUCAGGUCAUAAGAAGUGCUUGUAGGAGUUAAUAGUGGCAUUUAUAUAUUUUUUUUUAAAUACACAUUCUAUUUAUAGGUGAAAUCAGCUGAAAAAGAUUAUUUGACCUACAUUCUUUUCAGAUUUUGUAGGUUUCGGAUUUAAUUUAAAUUAUUUUGGCUCUGGGGUCAGAUUGAAAGUUGUGGAGUACAUGAAUACACACUAGAUUCAUGGGCAAAACAGGUUUAAUGUAGCAUUAAUGUAAAAUGUAAAGUGAAAGUAGCUACUUUAUCUGGUUGUAUAGGAGACUACAAGUGAAUUAGGCUACAGUUUAAUUUAUGACUGAUUUUUCUUUUUUUUGGUUAGCUGGAGGCAGUAUUUCUCAUAAAUUAAGGUUUUUUUAAAUCUUAAUUUUCAUGUUUUUGUUUUGUUUUGUUUAUUCAUAUAUUAAAAUGACAAUUUUUAAAAUUUUUUGAAAAUCACUUCAGAUACAGUACUGUGCAAAAGUCUUAGGCACCCUAUUUUUUUUUUUUAAUACAAUUUUUGUCUUAAAUGUUUAUUUUAUGACUUCUGCAUUAUUGAGUCAAUAAAAAAAAAUUUAGAUUCCAAACAUUACUUUCCAACAAGAAAUUAAAUGUUACAGGAAAAUGUUUUUAUGGCAGUAAAGAAAGCAGCAUAUUACACAUUACACCACUUUUCAGGCAAAUAACAUAAUGAAGUCUAUCCGGUUUUAUCUGCAAAAACAGAUUUUAGUUGUACAAAUGUUUAAUUUCAUUAUUUCUGAAGGCACCUUUUCUUUAUAGCAUUUCUUUGCAUGUGCCUAAGACUUUUGCACAGUACUGUAUAUCAGUCUCAGUGGUUGAAUUCAAGGGGAAUUGUGGGAUUGGUGAUGUAUAUCUGACUUUAGUAGAAAAAUAUAAACACAUAAAUAGACUUAUCAGAUUAUGUCUCAUAAAUUGGGAUGUUCUUAAACUCAUUGGUCUAGUAACUGAUUGCUGAUUAAUAAAUUAAACUAGUAUACGUAAGUAGUUCAGAUGUAAUUUGGCCACAGUUUGUGA